rnacentral:lncRNA from 1 species
AUAAAUGAAAGAAAGAAAAAAAGAAAAGAAAAGAAAGAGAAAAUAAAAGAAAAAGCACUGUAUCGCUACUGGGCUAGGAGCUUCUCUCUUUCUAUCUGUUUCUCUCUGUCUCUCUGUGUUUGUCUCUGUCUUUCUCUCUCUGUCUCUUUCUCUGUCUGUCUCUUUCUUUCCCUCUGUCUCUGUCUCUCUCUCUCUCUGCCUGUCUGUGUCUGUCUUCUGUCUUACUUUCUCUGCCCGUCUGUCUGUCUCUCUCUCUCCUUCCCUGUCUGUUUCUCUCUGUCUCUCUGUCUGUCUCUGUUUUUCUCUGUCUAUCUCUUUCUCUGUCUGUCUGCCUCUCUCUUUCUUUUUCUGUGUCUCUCUGUCUGUCUCUAUCUCUCUCUGUCUCUCGCUCUCUCUGCCUAUCUUGUCUUACUGUCUUUCUCUGCCUAUCUGUCUCUCUCUGUCUCUCCCUCCCUUUGUUUCUCUCUCUCUCUCACUCUCUCUCUGUCUGUUUCUCUGUCUCUCUCUUUCUCUGUUUCUCAGUGUCUCUCUCUGUCCAUCUCUGUCUUUCUCUGUCUCUUUCUCUCUGUCUCUGUCUCUCUGUCUCUCUGCCUGUCUCUCUCACUGUGUCUGUCUUCUGUCUUACUCUCCUUCUCUGCCUGUCCGUCUGUCUGUCUCUCUCUCUCUCUCCCUCCCUUUCUGUUUCUCUCUCUCUCUCUUUCUGUCUGUUUCUCUCUUUCUCUCUCUGUCUGUCUCUGUCUUUGUCUGUCUCUUUCUUUCUCUCUGUCUCUGUCUCUCUCUCUGCCUGUCUCACUGUGUCUGUCUUCUGUCUUAUUCUCCUUCUCUGCCUGUCUGUCUCUUUCUUUCUCUCUGUCUCUGUCUCUCUCUCUCUCUGCCUGUCUCACUGUGUCUGUCUUCUGUCUUAUUCUCCUUCUCUGCCUGUCUCUCUCUCUCUUUCUGUCUGUUUGUCUCUCUCUCUCCCUCCCUUUCUGUUUCUCUCUCUCUGUUUCUGUUUCUCUCUUUCUUUCUCUGUCUGUCUCUGUCUUUGUCUCUUUCUCUGUCUGUCUCUUUCUUUCUCUCUGUCUCUGUCUCUCUCUCUGCCUGUCUCACUGUGUCUGUCUUCUGUCUUAUUCUCCUUCUCUGCCUGUCUGUCUCUCUCUCUCUCUUCCUGUCUGUUUCUCUCUCUCUCUUUCUGUUUCUUUCUCUCUGUGUCUGUCUCUGUCUGUCUUUCUUUUUCUCUGUCUCUCUGUCUCUCUCUCUCUCUGUGCCUGUCUCUCUGUCUGUGCCUGUCUUCUGUCUUACUUUCUUUCUCUGCCUGUCUGUCUGUCUGUCUCUCUCCCUCCAUGUCUCUCUCUCUCUCUCACUCAUUCUCCGUCUCUCUCUCUUUCUGUCUGUUUCUCUCUAUCUCUCUCUGUCCAUCUCUGUCUUUCUAUGUCUGUCUCUUUCUCUGUCAGUCUGUCAGACACCCCCGUGCCGGGUAGGGCCCUGCCCCUUCCACGAAAGUGAGAAGCGCGUGCUUCGGUGCUUAGAGAGGCCGAGAGAAAUCUAGACAGGCGGGCCUUGCUGGGCUUCCCCACUCGGUGUAUGAUUUCGGGAGGUCGAGGCCGGGUCCCCGCUUGGAUGCGAGGGGCAUUUUCAGACUUUUCUCUCGGUCACGUGUGGCGUCCGUACUUCUCCUAUUUCCCUGAUAAGCUCCUCGACUUAAAAAUAAACGGUUAAGGCCGGGCACGGUGGCUCACAUCUGUCAUCCCAGCACUUUGGGACGCCGAGGCGGGUGGAUCACCUGAGGUUGGGAGUUCGAGACCAGCCUUGCCAACACGGCGAAACCCCGUCUCUACUAAAAAUACAAAACUGAGUCAGGAGCGGUGGGGCAGGUGCCUGUAAUGCCAGCUACUUGGGAGGCUGAGGCUGGAGAAUCACUUGAACCUGGGAGGCGGAGGCUGCAGUGAGCUGAGAUUGCACCACUGCACUACAGCCCAGGCUGUAGAGUGAGUGAGACUCUGUCUCUAAAUAAAUAAAUAAAUAAAUAAAUAAAUAAAUAAAUAAAUAAAUACAUUCUUUUCCGUGCUGACUGACAUUUGCAGGCAUCGGUUGUCUUCGGGCAUCACCUAGCGGCCACUGUUAUUGAAAGUUGAGGUCACACGGAGGGAGGUCUCCCUGACUUCACCGAACCUGGGGCAACGGGUUUCUCUCUCUCCCUUCUGGAGGUCCCUCCCUCUCUCCCUCGUUGCCUAGGGAACCUCUGCCCUGGCGGGGGCCCUAUUGUUCUUUGAUCAGCGCUUUAGUUUUCUUUGUGUGUUGGUUUCUUUCAUGUGCAUAGACUCUUCUACUUGGGAUUUAGGAGGGGUCAGUUUAAUUUUCAAGUCGCCCCUCGGCUCCCCCCACUACCCACAUCCCUUUACCUUCAUUUAGUGAGUCAGUUAGGUGGGUUCCCCCCAAACCCCACCCCCCGCCUCCCGACACCCUGCUU